AAGAUAACAUUGAAUUCCUGGUGCUGGAAUGUAGCUCAGUGGUAGGGUGUUUGCCUAGCAUGUGCUCAUGGGGCCCCGGGGUCAAUCCCCACACCAAGAAUAGGGACCACUGAAACAGUGU
ensembl:miRNA Gm27458 predicted gene, 27458